rnacentral:rRNA from 1 species
GUUCAGAACGAACGCUGGCGGCAAGCCUAACACAUGCAAGUCGAACGGACAAUUAUUUAUAGCUUUUGGCUAUAGGCAAUUGUUAGUGGCAGACGGGUGAGUAAUGCGUAGGAAUCUACCUAGUAGUACGGAAUAGCCAUUAGAAAUGAUGGGUAAUACUGUAUAAUCCCCGCGGGGGAAAGAUUUAUCGCUAUUAGAUGAGCCUACGUUAGAUUAGCUAGUUGGUAAGGUAAUGGCUUACCAAGGCUAUGAUCUAUAGCUGGUCUGAGAGGACGAUCAGCCACACUGGAACUGAGAUACGGUCCAGACUCCUACGGGAGGCAGCAGUGGGGAAUAUUGGACAAUGGGCGAAAGCCUGAUCCAGCUAUGCCGCGUGAGUGAAGAAGGCCUUCGGGUUGUAAAACUCUUUCAAUAGGGAAGAUAAUGACGGUACCUAU